CGGGCCCUUCGGGGUCAGCGGCAGACGGGUGAGUAACACGUGGGAACGUACCCUUCGGUUCGGAAUAACUCAGGGAAACUUGAGCUAAUACCGGAUACGCCCUUUUGGGGAAAGGUUUACUGCCGAAGGAUCGGCCCGCGUCUGAUUAGCUAGUUGGUGGGGUAAUGGCCUACCAAGGCGACGAUCAGUAGCUGGUCUGAGAGGAUGAUCAGCCACACUGGGACUGAGACACGGCCCAG
rnacentral:rRNA from 1 species